rnacentral:rRNA from 1 species
GAUGAACGCUGGCGGCGUGCCUAAUACAUGCAAGUCGAGCGAACAGACGAGGAGCUUGCUCCUCUGAUGUUAGCGGCGGACGGGUGAGUAACACGUGGAUAACCUACCUAUAAGACUGGGAUAACUUCGGGAAACCGGAGCUAAUACCGGAUAACAUGUUGAACCGCAUGGUUCAACAGUGAAAGACGGUCUUGCUGUCACUUAUAGAUGGAUCCGCGCCGCAUUAGCUAGUUGGUAAGGUAACGGCUUACCAAGGCAACGAUGCGUAGCCGACCUGAGAGGUUGAUCGGCCACACUGGAACUGAGACACGGUCCAGACUCCUACGGGAGGCAGCAGUAGGGAAUCUUCCGCAAUGGGCGAAAGCCUGACGGAGCAACGCCGCGUGAGUGAAGAAGGUCUUCGGAUCGUAAAACUCUGUUAUUAGGGAAGAACAAAUGUGUAAGUAACUAUGCACGUCUUGACGGUACCUAAUCAGAAAGCCACGGCUAACUACGUG